UCAAGAACAAUUCUGAAAGGAAAGCGCAAAAUAAUCACUCUCAUUGAUGAACAAACAUAGAAAAAGUAUAAGUGUCACCUCUAUGCAAUUAGAAUCCAUUGAUUAUAGGUAUUUAAUAUGCUUCUUUUUUUUUGUUUGCUUGAUCACUAUAGCCAAAUAUGAUUUCAUUUUUGACGAUGCUGUUUAUUUGUUUAUAGUGUUUCUUCAAUAAUUUUUGUGAAUUUUGCGGUUUUCAAACUCAGAGUCAUAACUUCAAGCCUGAUAAAAAAAUUAUAGAGAAACUCAAUGAAGUCCAAUAUUUUUUUUGGCCUAAAUUGUAACAAAAAUAAGUUUAAACAAAUUGUUAAUUCUUUAAUAAAUUUAUUUCUAUACCCUUUACUCUUUUUAAUUCUUUUAUCAAUCAUCACAAAUAUUAAUGUGUAUUAAAGACUUGAUAAAGCUUUCAUAAAUAUUUUGAUAAAGAUUUAUAAUGU
rnacentral:lncRNA from 1 species